GACGAACGCUGGCGGCGUGCCUAAUACAUGCAAGUCGAACGAGUGGCGGACGGGUGAGUAACACGUGGGAACCUACCCAUCAGAGGGGGAUAACUACUGUAAACGGUAGCUAAUACCGCAUACCAUCUGAUGUGCCCAGAUGGGAUUAGCUAGUAGGUGGGGUAAUGGAUCACCUAGGCGACGAUCCCUAGCUGGUCUGAGAGGAUGACCAGCCACACUGGAACUGAGAAAGGGUCCAGACGCCUACGGGAGGCAGCAGUGGGGAAGAUUGCACAAUGGGCGAAAGCCUGAUGCAGCCAUGCCGCGUGUGUGAAGAAGGCCUUCGGGUUGUAAAGCACUUUCAGCGAGGAGGCGUUACUCGCAGAAGAAGCACCGGCUAACUCCGUGCCAGCAGCCGCGGUAAUAC
rnacentral:rRNA from 1 species